CGUCGGUUCUGAAACCACACCUGAACACAACAAGGUUUUGUUCUUACUGUCUGUGACUCAUAGCAGACAGACAAGUAAUUAACAUCAUCCAUGACCCCAUUUCUGAAUGACGGCUCAGAGAAAAAAGGGCUGAUGUGCACUAGAAGAUCCUGUCCUGCAUCUGAACACCUCGCCUCAUAGAUAUUAACAACCUCAACAACUUGAUCUCUGAUCUCUCCAACAUCUGUCUUGACAAGAACAUCUCAGCAGAUGAAUACUGUGUGGUGUGCAUGGAGAGAAAGGCAGGAAUCACUCUGCCUUGUGGCCACCGGCGUUUGUGUGACCACUGCAGCCCCAGAGUCCUGCAGGAGAUUGGAACCUGCCCACUGUGUCGACACGAGAUCAGAGCUCCAUCAGUGGAGGGCAGGUGAGUCUCUGGGGCGGCCUAGGCUAUAGUAAAUCUGAAUGUUAUGAUAAACAAUGCACUAUGAUGAUAUUAAUGUGUUCUUGUGUAGCCCAGUGGUUAGGGAGGUUUGGCUCAGUCUUUACAUAUUUUGUUAUAUUUGCAACAGUAAUGUUGCAAUGUUUUCACAGCACUCUGCAAAUGUGAAAGUACAACACCAGCUAGGUUUCAUUAUGAUUUCUUUACAAUUCUAAGUCUUUGCAGCAGUCAUAUAUCCAUAAAAAUGUUCCCUCAUUAAUGUUGUAAAUCAUUAAUCAAUCUUUAUUUUGUAAAAUUAAAGUUUGUCUGAAAAUUAAGUUUUAUAUUAUUCUAUUAUCAUAUUAACAUGAAUACAGUCUUUACAUAUUUUGUUAUAUUUGCGACAGUAAUGUUGCAAUGUUUUCACAGCACUCUUCAAAUGUGAAAGUACAACACCAGCUAGUUUCAUUAUGACUUGUUUACAUUGCAUGUUAUCAUGGCUGCAGAGCAAAUCAUUAAUCUGUUUAAGAUAAACCAUUAUAAAGGCACGUGAUUGUAGUUUGACCUUGAAAAGCAAAUGUGGCUAAUGGUGCAAAAAAUUUGUAUUAAAAGCUUUCUGUCACUUCUUCACUUACUUUUCUUUGCAAAAGUGAAAGAGCUCCACAUGUUAACAGAUGUUUGCUUGUCUGCUACAUGUGGGUUUUAGAACAUACAUGUUGGAUCUCUCCUGUUUGACACACUGUGCAGA